GGGACCGUGCGCGUUGGAGGGUCUGCCAUCUUGUGGCCUGAAUCGGAACAAUAAACAUUUACAUUUACACGUCACGUGUUUUCUUGUGCAUAGAAGAUUCUGCCAUCUUGUGGGCUACAUCAGAACAAUAAACAUCACAGUUACGCCUCGCGCCAAAAAUCUGACGGCUCCUGUGCUGCCUCCUACAUUUCAUGCACGCUCCCUAUAAUCACUACGUUCUAGCCAACAGUGAAAAGUUGGUGGAAAAUAUACGCUGUCGAAACAAGGAGUCUUUUCUACGAUUGGCUGGUUAGAGAUGUGCUAGAAUCUAUGAAUUCAAAUAUCAUAUGUCCACACGUCAUGUUGACAUCCUUCAUAAAAAAAAUCAAAAGAAAUUAAAACCCACAAUGACUUUGUAAAAUCCAAAAAAAUGUUAUUAUUUAUAUAACCUGAACCGUUAAUAAAAAAAUACAAUGCUCGACUUCAAAUACCAUGUGUUUAUGUAGCUGCUUUCCAAACUGCUGUCUAUACCGAAUAAAAAUCAUCAACAAAUUCCUGGGACCUGUGUGAACUGUGUGAGCCCGGCCUGCAUGGCGACCAGACUUCAAUAAUGGGGGAAAAUAAAGAAACGUCCAUCGCGAAGAACGUACUAGAUGUCUGCAAAGGAACUUACGAUUUCCUAAGAAGGGUGGUGCAUAGCAUGUGCAUGUGCGCUUGCUUGCCAGGCCUCAAGUGCCUGUUCCGCUUCGAGGUAAAAGGCGACUCCCGUGAUCAUCACACGCCCUGCUGAUACCGCAACAAAAAGAUGCAGAUAACUUAUCGUUUUCAAAAACAUGUACGUAACUUAAUGUCUACUACUGUCUUGAAUUGUGUACUUAAGUAAAUAUAACAAAGUCAUUGUGAUAAA